rnacentral:rRNA from 1 species
AACGAACGCUGGCGGCAUGCCUAACACAUGCAAGUCGAACGAGACCUUCGGGUCUAGUGGCGCACGGGUGCGUAACGCGUGGGAACCUGCCCUUAGGUUCGGUAUAACUCCCCGAAAGGGGUGCUCAUACCGGAUAAUGUCUUCGGACCAAAGAUUUAUCGCCUUUGGAUGGGCCCGCGUUGGAUUAGCUAGUUGGUAGGGUAAAAGCCUACCAAGGCGACGAUCCAUAGCUGGUCUGAGAGGAUGAUCAGCCCCACUGGGACUGAGACACGGCCCAGACUCCUACGGGACGCAGCAGUGGGUAAUAUUGGACAAUGGGCGAAAGCCUGAUCCAGCAAUGCCGCGUGAGUGAUGAAGGCCUUAGGGUUGUAAAGCUCUUUUACCCGGGAUGAUAAUGACAGUACCGGGAGAAUAAGCUCCGGCUAACUCCGUG